GCUUGUGUGAAACACCAGUUCUCGUCCUAUUAACGAAGUUAAGCAAGGUCGAGCCUGGUCAGCACCGAGAUGUGUGACCAUUUGGAAAUAUCACGUGCUGUAAG